rnacentral:lncRNA from 1 species
UCAUGAAUAAUGAUUAUCUUAACACCCAAAACUGCAUAUAACAAUAGCAGGUACUACCCAAAAAUUUCAGUGGUAAACAAGGCAUAAAGGUGACCAAACCAGGGUGGCCUAUUGGGUCCCAUCAAAGUUAAACCUAAACAUGCCAAAGUGAUUAUAAAGAACAUUGUUGGGUAAAUAAAAGUGGUCAAGGGCACAACAUGUCUUCAAUGAGCUCCUGCUCAGUAGUUUCCACCUGCUGAGUACCAGGCUCCUCAAUUACUUGCUCGUCUACUCGCAACAAUACAAACAUACAUGACAUAGGAGAAAUUAACAUUACAUCAAACAUAAGAACAAAGUGCAUGAUAAUAAUCUACGCAUCAUAACGAGAUCCUAGGUUCGAGAACCACUAAAUUCGGAGUUACAGUUGUCAAGUUAUGAUUUUCCGAAGGAUUAAGUGUUAGAUAUAAAACAAAUUAAGUGCAUAAUUUUAAUCCAUGUUUCAUAACAAAACAAAGUUACCAGAUGAUAAACAAUAUUAUUAUGAAUUUAAUGCAACUGGAAUGGACCAAAAAGGAGUUAAAAUGGAUUUAUUAUGAAUUAAACUAGUUUAUGAAAUUAUUAUUUUUUUAAAAAAAUCAUUUUUCUGAUUAAAUUCUGAAUUUUUCUAAUGGCUGUGGACUGUGCACACAAAUUCCGGAAUCCACAGGGUUCACUAUGUAAAACUCUAGGCGCGGUUGUAAUUAUUUUAUACCUGCAGUGGACGGUGGGUUGAUUUCUCUAAAACACAGGGUCUCUUACGUAAAAUGUGCACGAUGAAGGGGUACUAUCAGACCUCGGCCGCCCGAUCUAAAGUGGAAGACACGGAUUAUAUCUGGCGUCAUCCGAACUGGUAUGCUACGCAGGAUCUUGGAUCUAGAUCCAAUGCUCCGUGUUUUAUGAAAGCAGGGCCCAAUCCCGGCCACCGAUCGCUCACCCAACGGCUCCGAUUUAAUUAGACGUGAUGAGAUCCCCUCCCUGCAAUCGCAGAUCCACGGUCCCGUUUCGGAGUACGCGAAAGGAUACGCGUGCUCCAACCUAGACCGUCCGAUAGAGGAUCGACGGCCACCACGUCUCUCUCUCCCCUGGCCCGACUGAGGCGGUGGCACGCACGCCGACUGCUACGGCGGCGGCGGCAGAGGAGUACUGCCCUGGCCAUAACGCACCCACAAGCAUGCACGGCAACGGUUACACGUACGGGAAAUCAAGGCGACUCGAUUGGGAGAAGACUUACCGGCCGAUUAAGUCGCGGACAGGGUCGACCAC